AUUUUUAUCUAUUCUACCUUGAAAUUGCCUGAUCUCGUUUCUUUUCAGAAGCUAAGCAGGGUUGGGCUUUGUUAAUACAGGGAUGGGAGACUACAUGGAUUAAGUUGUGCCAGUG
rnacentral:rRNA from 1 species